rnacentral:lncRNA from 1 species
CAGGGUUUAAAUUGUUGGCUGUCGGUAUUUUUCAAGUACACAUCUGAUGCUUCCGAUAUUAUUGUUCAGGAUUUAGGUUGUUUAAUAAUGCAUGGAUUUUUCCCGGGCAGAUAGAACAAUUUUGAUAUUACAAAGUAUUUUAACGCUACCAACGGUAUUGUAAGUUGUCGCUGAACGCAGAGUCAAUCGACGCGUGUCACUUCCCUCAUCUGCUCAACGUCUAUUCAUCUUACAGUGAACGCCCCCGCGUUCUUCACCGCCACCUACUCUCUCCACGCAGGUCAGUGUGGUGCUUCGGGUGCUCCCCUGUCCUCCCGUACCUUGUUCUCAGCCCCCGUCACCCAUUCUUAGAGUGGACCCGACCAAGAGAAGGGUCAGCAUUAUGGAUCCUACUGCCAUCGAUAGUCCACGGCAGACCGACACUGGGCCAGGCAGGGGUCUGUGGAAGACAUAUGGCUUUGACACAGCCUUCCCCCCAGAGUCAACCCAGGCGGAGGUGUGUGUAGGCGUUUUGCCUGACGUCAUCCGUUCAGUGGUGAACGGGUCAGACGAAUGCAUUAUAUGCUUCGGACGUGCUGAGUUGGGUAAG